GGAAAGUGACAUGUGUGACUCCUGCGCUGAAGUACCAAAGAGCACGUACAAAUAUGAACUACCUGCAUUCAACACUGGAGACAUGUUCUUUCUGUAAAGAGAUGCACAAGCACAGAGACGAUAAACAGCUUGCCCAAGGUCAUGAGUAGGAAGUGGUACAGCUGGACUCUGAACCUGGACAUUCCAACUCCAGAAUCUAUGUUCCUUCUUUAGACUG